ACCAGGUACUUUAUAUACGUGCCUCUCUAUUUGUUCAACAUGUUUAUAUUUAGUUGGAAUAUGUUUUUGUUUCUUUCGAUUAUGCCAUGAAGUAUAAACUGAUAUUAUACUGAAGACCACUUAUUGUUCUUGCAGUGAGGUUGGCCAAGUUUAUACCACGCAAGCAGUGGGUUGUUGCUGGUGCAUAUGAUAUGUAUAUUGGUGUAUACAAUUACAAUACCAUGGAUAAGGUCAAAGUCUUUGAGGCACACACAGACUGUAUUAGGUGCCUUGCUGUUCAUCCAGCCCUUCCCCUUCCUUAUUAUAAAGCUCCGGGACUGGGAGAAGGGAUGGAUGUGCACUCAAAUUUUUGAGGGUCAUUCUCAUUAUGUCAUGCAAGUUACGUUUAAUUCUAAGGAUCCCAAUACUUUUGCAAGUGCAUCCCUUGAUCGUACCAUCAAGAUAUGGAAUCUUAGGUCUCCUGGUCCGAACUUUGCAUUGGACGCCCAUCUGAAAGGAGUGAAUUGUGUAGAUUACUUCACUGGUGGAGAUAAACCAUGUCUCAUCACUGGUCCUGAAGAUCACACUGCUAAAACAUCUUUUUGAUUGUAAUCCCUGCGAUUGUGUGUCUGAAUUGUAUGAAACAGGUGUGGGAUUACCAACCUAAUUAAGAGUUGUGUUCAGACUCUAGAAGGUCAUACACACAAUGUGUUUGCUGUUUGUUUUCAACCUGAACUUCCAAUAAUAAUAACAGGUUCAGAGGA